UCCGAGUUGACCCCGGCAGUCUCCUAUGAGUCCCCACCACCCCCGAAGGGGCGUGCUGGCAACAUAGAACGAGGGUUGCGCUCGUUGCGGGACUUAACCCAACAUCUCACGACACGAGCUGACGACAGCCAUGCACCACCUGUCACCGGCCCAAAAGGACCCCGCAUCUCUGCGAGUUUUCCGGCGAUGUCAAGCCUUGGUAAGGUUCUUCGCGUUGCGUCGAAUUAAGCAACAUGCUCCACCGCUUGUGCGGGCCCCCGUCAAUUCCUUUGAGUUUCAGCCUUGCGACUGUACUCCCCAGGCGGAUUACUUAAUGCUUUCGCUCAGACGCGUACAGUGUAUCGCACACAUCGAGUAAUCAUCGUUUAGGGCGUGGACUAC
rnacentral:misc_RNA from 1 species